rnacentral:rRNA from 1 species
GAGUUUGAUCGUGGCUCAGAUUGAACGCUGGCGGCAGGCCUAACACAUGCAAGUCGAGCGGAUGACGGGAGCUUGCUCCUUGAUUCAGCGGCGGACGGGUGAGUAAUGCCUAGGAAUCUGCCUGGUAGUGGGGGACGACGUUUCGAAAGGAACGCUAAUACCGCAUACGUCCUACGGGAGAAAGCAGGGGACCUUCGGGCCUUGCGCUAUCAGAUGAGCCUAGGUCGGAUUAGCUAGUUGGUGGGGUAAUGGCUCACCAAGGCGACGAUCCGUAACUGGUCUGAGAGGAUGAUCAGUCACACUGGAACUGAGACACGGUCCAGACUCCUACGGGAGGCAGCAGUGGGGAAUAUUGGACAAUGGGCGAAAGCCUGAUCCAGCCAUGCCGCGUGUGUGAAGAAGGUUUUCGGAUUGUAAAGCACUUUAAGUUGGGAGAAGGGCAGUAAGUUAAUACCUUGCUGUUUUGACGUUACCGACAGAAUAAGCACCGGCUAACUCUGUGCCAGCCGCCGCAAG